UUUUAUGGAGAGUUUGAUCCUGGCUCAGGAUGAACGCUGGCGGCGUGCCUAAUACAUGCAAGUCGAGCGAACAGACGAGGAGCUUGCUCCUCUGACGUUAGCGGCGGACGGGUGAGUAACACGUGGAUAACCUACCUAUAAGACUGGGAUAACUUCGGGAAACCGGAGCUAAUACCGGAUAAUAUAUUGAACCGCAUGGUUCAAUAGUGAAAGACGGUUUUGCUGUCACUUAUAGAUGGAUCCGCGCCGCAUUAGCUAGUUGGUAAGGUAACGGCUUACCAAGGCAACGAUGCGUAGCCGACCUGAGAGGGUGAUCGGCCACACUGGAACUGAGACACGGUCCAGACUCCUACGGGAGGCAGCAGUAGGGAAUCUUCCGCAAUGGGCGAAAGCCUGACGGAGCAACGCCGCGUGAGUGAUGAAGGUCUUCGGAUCGUAAAACUCUGUUAUUAGGGAAGAACAAAUGUGUAAGUAACUAUGCACGUCUUGACGGUACCUAAUCAGAAAGCCACGGCUAACUACGUGCCAGCAGCCGCGGUA
rnacentral:rRNA from 1 species